GAUGAACGCUGGCGGCGUGCCUAAUACAUGCAAGUCGAGCGAACAGAUAAGGAGCUUGCUCCUUUGACGUUAGCGGCGGACGGGUGAGUAACACGUGGAUAACCUACCUAUAAGACUGUGAUAACUUCGGGAAACCGGAGCUAAUACCGGAUAACAUAUUGAACCGCAUGGUUCAAUAGUGAAAGGCGGCUUUGCUGUAACUUAUAGAUGGAUCCGCGCCGUAUGAGCUAGUUGGUAAGGUAACGGCUUACCAAGGCAACGAUACGUAGCCGACCUGAGAGGGUGAUCGGCCACACUGGAACUGAGACACGGUCCAGACUCCUACGGGAGGCAGCAGUAGGGAAUCUUCCGCAAUGGGCGAAAGCCUGACGGAGCAACGCCGCGUGAGUGAUGAAGGUCUUCGGAUCGUAAAACUCUGUUAUCAGGGAAGAACAAAUGUGUAAGUAACUGUGCACAUCUUGACGGUACCUGAUCAGAAAGCCACGGCUAACUACGUGCCAGCCGCCGCAGUAA
rnacentral:rRNA from 1 species